rnacentral:lncRNA from 1 species
GACUUGGUGAGAUCGCCCCAAGGAGGAGGCGAGUGAAGAAGGGGCUCUCAGGGAAAGGCGUUUGCCCCACGGGCUGACUCUGGAGAAAAGAUUAGUCUUCAGCCUGGGAAGUGCUCUGGCCAGCUGAGAGAGCUAUGUGAGGAGGAAACUGUCCUGGAUUUGCUCAUUCCCCACAGCGCCAACAGAGUGCUGAGAACACAAAGGGAAAUCCUUCUGACUUCUGGGAACAGAAGGGGCAGCAGGAGCUGUGAGCCUGAGCCAGGCCCUCCUGCUACUUACUCAAAAUGGACAGAAGGAACCAGCUUUCUCGGGAAACAGGGCUGCUUAGCAAGAGGCCUCGGACCUGCCAUGGGAUGGAAGUAGCAAGAAAAACAAAGCAUGUCUGAGACCGAGGAUGCGAGUCAAGAAGAAGCUGAACUUGGCAGACCAGAUUCACAAAUCCAGGAUCUAGAAAUUUCCAAGUUUCUGUAAGAGGAAUGAAACCCAGCUCUGCAGUCACACGUGCCUGUGAUUUGUCUCCCCUCAACAACAUAGCCGUCUAGGAUCCCACAGAUGCUGCUUUCAAGGAACUUCAGAGGGUUCCUAGGAAAAGUUUGUUUCAAACUGAUGAAACCCCAAAUAUAUUGGAGAUCAAUAAUUUAAAGUGUCAGUAAGAUAAAAUGUUAAGAUAAGAAAAGAAUAUGGCCAAGUCAGCCACACCUGGUGUCCAGCGAUGCUGAGGCUGCCAUGCCUCUGGCAGCACACAUUGUCCAGAGUCAUGGUUAAUGAUGACAGGACCUGAGUCCUGUGAUCUAAGGUGGUGGACCCUGUAUACUCAUAGGCCUGUUCUGCGGCAGAAUUUUUUUUUCGAGGUUCUGGAAAUUUAACCUCCCUUUGUUUUUCCACCUUCUGAGCUUGGAUCUCCAGCUUCCACGGUAAUUUUAUGAGCUACCAAAUGAUUAUUCAGACAAUUGAUUUUCUGGUUGAAUGAGAAUCACUUUCUGUUAUUUCUAACUUAGACUGGACAGAGUUACUGCAUAAAAUUCAACAAGUCAAAACAUAUUAGGUGGUUAUAAAACUAGGAUUGAAAAAAUAAUAAUUUCCACUUACGGCCAAAAAUGGAAUUUAUAGCAACAAGAUUUAUUCUCCCACUUUAAGGAACUAGAAAACUGGACAAAAUGCAAAGAACAGGGGUUUUCACUCACCAAACAGGCAGUGCGAGGCUGCGAUCCCACGGAGAAGGGAACAAGGUGGGCCCCACAGCUGCACCCACUGACUGCCUGGAUGCAGUUUCCAGGCCUCAGCACAGGGAGGGCUAGCCCAAACCGGAGCCAGUUAUCUUGAUGAGUGGAAGAGACAGAAAUCAGAGCUCAGAGAGACCCAGGUGACUAGGAUUU